GGGCGGCUAGCUCAGUUGGUUAGAGCGCGAUCCUCACACGGUCGAGGUCACUGGUUCGAGCCCAGUGCCGCCCA
rnacentral:tRNA from 1 species